rnacentral:rRNA from 1 species
CCUACGGGUGGCAGCAGUAGGGAAUUUUCGGCAAUGGGCGGAACCCUGACCGAGCAACGCCGCGUGAACGAAGAAGUUAUUCGUAUUGUAAAGUUCUGUUAACAGGGAAGAAUGAGGAAUUUGACGGUACCUGAAGAAUAAGCUCCGGCAAACUACGUGCCAGCAGCCACGUUAGUCCGUAGGGCGAGGGGGUUACCCGGAAUUAUUGGGCGUAACGGGUGCGUAGAGGGCAUAGUAAGUCUUUGGUAAAAAGGCAGGGCUAAACCAAGUAGGGGAAAAGAUACUGGCAGGCUAGAGUAUGAAAGAGGAAAGUGGAACUACAUGUGUAGCGGUAAAAUGCGUAGAUAUAUGUAGGAACACCAGUGGCGAAGGCGACGUGCUGGGUAGAUACUGACAUUGAGGCACGAAAGCGUGGGGAGCAAAUAGGAUUAGAUACCCGGGUAGUC